rnacentral:rRNA from 1 species
GGCUUCGGCUACCACUUACAGAUGGACCCGCGGCGCAUUAGCUAGUUGGUGAGGUAACGGCUCACCAAGGCGACGAUGCGUAGCCGACCUGAGAGGGUGAUCGGCCACACUGGGACUGAGACACGGCCCAGACUCCUACGGGAGGCAGCAGUAGGGAAUCUUCCGCAAUGGACGAAAGUCUGACGGAGCAACGCCGCGUGAGUGAUGAAGGUUUUCGGAUCGUAAAGCUCUGUUGUUAGGGAAGAACAAGUGCCGUUCAAAUAGGGCGGCACCUUGACGGUACCUAACCAGAAAGCCACGGCUAACUACGUGCCAGCAGCCGCGGUAAUACGUAGGUGGCAAGCGUUGUCCGGAAUUAUUGGGCGUAAAGGGCUCGCAGGCGGUUUCUUAAGUCUGAUGUGAAAGCCCCCGGCUCAACCGGGGAGGGUCAUUGGAAACUGGGGAACUUGAGUGCAGAAGAGGAGAGUGGAAUUCCACGUGUAGCGGUGAAAUGCGUAGAGAUGUGGAGGAACACCAGUGGCGAAGGCGACUCUCUGGUCUGUAACUGACGCUGAGGAGCGAAAGCGUGGGGAGCGAACAGGAUUAGAUACCCUGGUAGUCCACGCCGUAAACGAUGAGUGC